GAUGAUGUCAUCCGGGCUUCCGGUCCCUGGCCCUUCGCACAGGCCGGAGACCGGUCGGUGUGGAGUUUGUAGUGGCAGACCCUGUGCUCGUUCCCGAGCGACGGAGGGUGGACUCGGCCAGAGGUGGGCUCGAGCCCCGCACCUCCUGCGCCGCCACCCCAUGCCUGACGGGUGCGAGAGCUGGACCUGGCCGAAGGUGGGCCGGGGUUGAAAGAAGCGGCCUGCAUGACCCGCCGGGACCCCACCGCAUCGCCUGGAAGAGCCCACUCUCCCUGGAAGGAAGACCAUCCCUGAAGAGGAUGACUGAGACGUUAUGGGCCACGCACUGUGUGUCUGCUCCCGGGGAACUGUCAUCAUUGACAAUAAGCGUUACCUCUUCGUCCAGAAAUUGGGGGAAGGUGGAUUCAGCUAUGUGGACCUAGUGGAGGGCUUGCAUGAUGGACACUUCUACGCCCUGAAGCGGAUCCUGUGCCAUGAGCAGCAAGACCAGGAAGAAGCCCAACGAGAGGCAGAGAUGCAUCGCCUCUUCCAGCAUCCCAACAUCCUUCGCCUCAUGGCUUACUCUCUGAAAGAACGAGGUGCUAAGCAUGAAGCCUGGCUGCUGCUGCCCUUCUUCAAGAAAGGUACACUGUGGAAUGAGAUAGAAAGGCUGAAGGACCAAGGCAGCUUCCUGACUGAAGACCAGAUCCUGCCGCUGUUGCUGGGUAUCAGCAGAGGCCUUGAGGCUAUUCAUGCCAAAGGUUAUGCACACAGGGACCUGAAGCCCACCAAUAUUUUGCUUGGUGAUGAGGGGCAGCCAGUUUUAAUGGACUUGGGUUCUAUGAAUCAAGCAUGCAUUCAAGUGGAGGGCUCUCGCCAGGCACUAGCUCUUCAGCUCUGGGGACACUGUUCCAGGACUGGGCAGCUCAGCGGUGCACCAUCUCCUACCGGGCACCUGAACUUUUUUCUGUGCAAAGCCACUGUGUCAUCGAUGAGCGGACUGAUGUCUGGUCCCUAGGCUGUGUGCUUUAUGCCAUGAUGUUUGGGGAAGGCCCUUACGAUAUGGUGUUCCAGAAGGGUGACAGUGUGGCCCUUGCUGUGCAGAAUGAACUCAGCAUCCCACAAAGCCCCAGGCAUUCUUCAGCAUUGCGACAGCUAUUGUCUUCUAUGAUGACUGUGGACCCCCAGCAGAGGCCUCACAUCCCUGUCCUCCUCAGUCAGUUGGAGGCAUUGCAGCCACCAGCUCCUGGCCAGCACACCACCCAAAUCUGAUCAAAUCAGUGGACAUAUUGGGAAGAUGACCUUGAAGUGGCUUUCAUCCCUCAUUGGAACUCCUUCCAUUCUUCCAGGAUGGCUCUCACAGCUAGUGGCAAGGAUAGUGGGUCCUUGUAUAUUCUGCCUUCUUACCCCAAUACCUGGGCAAGGAACCUAGGGUGAGUUGGGGGAAAAUGAAACAGAAAAUAUGGCUCAAAGCUAGGCUGCUGGGUGCACAUCUCAUUCUGUCUCCAGAUCUGGGAGCAGGAGAAUACAUAAAAAGGAGAAUAAAGUAAAAACAGACCGUGUAUAUUUUAGGUCAAUGUGUCUGGAGGGAAAGAAUGAACUCUCUGCUUGCUAUUUCCAAGGGAAGCUCCUGGCAAGAAGUACUGGUAUGAUGUCUUGAGGUAGAUCUACUUCUUGAGUUCUGGCAGCAGGCAGGUCUUUUAAGCUGGCUUAGUCAAAACCAGAGAGCUUCAAGCUUGAGCUGGUUUCUGUCUGUGCCAAGAAGUGGGACCAGGGUCUCCUUGAAAGCACACUCAACCAGUUCUGUCAUUCAUUCCCAGGGUGGGUAGCUUAGAACAGCCCAGCUCCGCAGGUUUGCCAAGUCCAUGUGACCUCUGGGUGGAAGCACACCGGGUCUUUUCCCUUCUUCAGCAGAGGACAAAGGGAGUGGAGCUGGCAGCCAUUUUUUUCCAGUUUCCCUGACUAUUCUAGCUCACACAUGGUUAAUAAUUGAUGAGGCUGGUGGCCUGUGGCAGUACCCAGCAGCCACUUCCUGCCCUAUUUGCUGAGUAAACAGGCACCUGCCUUAGUUGGGUUUCAAACUUUCCUCAGGGAAGGGCACUGCUUCCCUGAGUCACCAGGGAGGGGAGACAAGGGCAGGGAUGGUGCUCCUGUUCUGGAGAUUCCACCCCUACAUGCUGACGUCAACAUGAGUCCUAGGGUGCCUAUUAGUGAAGUAUAAUUUAUCCCUAGGGUCCAGGCAGGAGGCUUCCACCCCGAGCAGAGGCUGAAGCCAAAAGAAAGCACAAACAGAGGGGAGACGACCUGACUUUUAAUAGCAUGGCUCCAGCCCCAGAAAGCAAGAUAGACAGCAAGCUAUGCAAAGCUGCCAGAGGUGCUGUGGCACAAACAACUAGAUUGCCCUUGUUCCUGCCCAUCCCCCAAGUUUGUGAGGUGGCUGUAUGCCCGGGAACUUUGGGCCCGCCCAGCCCCCAUUCCCAAAUCCUCAGUGUUCAAUGACGCCUGGGCCAAGCCUUCUAGAGCUGUUGAGUGAAGCAGCAGCAAGAAGAAUAAAGUAGUCCAAUCAUCCAACACAGACUAUCAGAUAUUUCAGAAAGUGAAGACUUGUAUCUUGCAAUAGCUUGUAGCUAGACAGACAGGUCCAGGGUUUGGUCCUUGUUUCUUUCCUAUUCUGCGAGUCCUUAGGACCUUACAUUGAAGUCCUUGGGUUCCUGCUUUCUGGGGCUCAAUAUGGGGCCCCCUUGGCAAGUCUCACUGUCAGCCAUGUGAAGGUAAAAUUAAAAGGUCACAAGCGGCCAAUAGCGGGAGGUAGCAGCCAAAGCAGAAAGGGGGACAAGCAGAGGCUCAAGCAGUUACAAAGGGGACAAGAAACCAUGCAAGGAGACUGUUUAUUUCGAAAGGAUUUUGCAAUAAACACAGUGAACAG